rnacentral:rRNA from 1 species
CCUACGGGAGGCAGCAGUGGGGAAUAUUGCACAAUGGGGGAAACCCUGAUGCAGCGACGCCGCGUGAGUGAAGAAGUAUUUCGGUAUGUAAAGCUCUAUCAGCAGGGAAGAAAAUGACGGUACCUGAUUAAGAAGCCCCGGCUAACUACGUGCCAGCAGCCGCGGUAAUACGUAGGGGGCAAGCGUUAUCCGGAUUUAGUGGGUGGAAAGGGAGCGUAGACGGGAGGACAAGUCUGGAGUGAAAGGCCGGGGCUUAACCCCGGAAGUGCUUUGGAAACUGUGCAGCUGGAGUGCAGGAGAGGUAAGUGGAAUUCCUGGUGUAGCGGUGAAAUGCGUAGAUAUAAGGAGGAACACCAGUGGCGAAGGCGGCUUACUGGACUGUAACUGACGUUGAGGCUCGAAAGCGUGGGGAGCAAACAGGAUUAGAUACCCUUGUAGUC